rnacentral:rRNA from 1 species
GACAGGCGUAGGCGAUGGAUAACAGGUUGAUAUUCCUGUACCACCUAGCAUCGUUUUAAUCGAUGGGGGGACGCAGUAGGAUAGGCGAAGCGUACGAUUGGAUUGUACGUCCAAGCAGUGAGAUUGAGUGUUAGGCAAAUCCGGCACUCUUAAGAUUGAGCUGUGAUGGGGAGAGGAAAUUGUUUCCUCGAGUCGUUGAUUUCACACUGCCGAGAAAAGCCUC